CCUACGGGUGGCAGCAGUGAGGAAUAUUGGUCAAUGGGCGGAAGCCUGAACCAGCCAAGUAGCGUGCGGGAUGAAGGCCCUACGGGUCGUAAACCGCUUUUGCACGGGGAUAACACCCUCCACUUGUGGAGGUCUGCAGGUACCGUGCGAAUAAGGGCCGGCUAAUUCCGUGCCAGCAGCCGCGGUAAUACGGAAGGCCCGAGCGUUAUCCGGAUUGAUUGGGCGUAAAGGGAGCGUAGGCGGGCGUUCAAGUCAGCUGUAAAAUCGCGCGGCUCAACCGCGCCCCGCAGUUGACACUGGACGCCUUGAGUUCACCACAGGCAGGCGGACUUCGUGUUGUAGCGGUGACCUGCAUAGCUAUCACGCGGAACCCCGAUUGCGCAGGCAGCCUGCCGGGGUGCGCCUGACGCUGAGGCUCGAAUGUGCGGGUAUCAAACAGGAUUAGAUACCCCAGUAGUC
rnacentral:rRNA from 1 species